rnacentral:rRNA from 1 species
GAUGAACGCUGGCGGCGUGCUUAACACAUGCAAGUCGAACGAAGCACUUUAUUUGAUUUCCUUCGGGACUGAUUAUUUUGUGACUGAGUGGCGGACGGGUGAGUAACGCGUGGGUAACCUGCCUUGUACAGGGGGAUAACAGUUGGAAACGGCUGCUAAUACCGCAUAAGCGCACGGCAUCGCAUGAUGCAGUGUGAAAAACUCCGGUGGUAUAAGAUGGACCCGCGUUGGAUUAGCUAGUUGGUGAGGUAACGGCCCACCAAGGCGACGAUCCAUAGCCGACCUGAGAGGGUGACCGGCCACAUUGGGACUGAGACACGGCCCAAACUCCUACGGGAGGCAGCAGUGGGUAAUAUUGCACAAUGGGCGAAAGCCUGAUGCAGCGACGCCGCGUGAGCGAAGAAGUAUUUCGGUAUGUAAAGCUCUAUCAGCAGGGAAGAUAAUGACGGUACCUGACUAAGAAGCACCGGCUAAAUACGUG